GCCUAGAUAUGAAGACUGUUUCUGAGUUUUUCUGACUCCUCAUGGUAAUUGUAUUCAACUCAAUUCAAUAAGGGUAAAUUGGCAUGGGAGAACCCAGGCAGAAGAGGAACAUAAGUAGUACAAAGCAAAUACCCAUCAUGUUACAAGACGAUAUGGGCAGAUUCAGCCAUACCUAAAUGCGUGAAGUAUUGGAUACGGACAGAUUGCAAGUUACAGCCGAAGGCGGUAUGACAGCUUUAUUGCUGUUGCAUGGGCAACAUGUUCUUUGAUUGGGAAAUAGGCUGUGGACUUACAGCAAGCUAUAUAUGCCUAUGCAUUUGUGUAAAUGUAGACGUAUGUAUUUAUCAGAAAGGUAGUCUCAGCUGGAGAGAAAACUGAAUGAAGAAAUUGUGCAUAAUAUAGUCUGUCCCAGAAUAUAUUCUCAAGUGUCCGCAGGGGAGGGGAAUUAGGACUCGCACCUCAAACAGACAUCCUGAAUGCUCUAUCCAGCUGUACAAACAAUUGCACAGGACGUCGUCCCAGCUGCGGUAACAUCAGGAGGUUAUCAGGAGCCUGAGGACAUCCAAGAGCAAAGCUCUGGUAAAGAGAGAGAGGAAUCAGAGGCACAAACAUUCUUCCCUGCUGACAGGUAGGGCUGCACCGGUAUAUUCCUCUGCUAGUCCAAACGAGUCUGGGAGAGGAGCUGAGCAGAAAAGGGAACUUUUGGUAAAUGAGGAAGGGAGCUGCUUGCUUCACAAGCCACUUCCUGUGUUACAUGCUCAUCUCUUCUCCAGGCACUGCUGACAGGAGUCCUUGCUGAGCUCUGGAGGCCGACACUGGGCUGUGCAGCUUUUAAGCUCUAGUUAAGAGUGUAGCUUAGGCUCAUGGCUACCAAAAGUCAUUAAACGUGCAGCACAGUGUUCAGUGGCCUGUGAGAAAUGAAUUCAACUUCACUACGGUUCCCUGCAGUUACUUUACCUGGAUGAAAAGGCACCCCAGAUUUCCUCAACUGGCACAGUUUUUUGCUGUGUCUACAGAAGUAAAGGGCUCUGAGUGAGUGUGAAGCAAA